AUGCACGCUGGCGGCGUGCCUCAUCCCUGCCAGUCGCGCGCACGGACGAGAAGCUUGCUUCUCUGAUGUUAGCGGCGGACGGGUGAGUAACACGUGGAUAACCUACCUAUAAGACUGGGAUAACUUCGGGAAACCGGAGCUAAUACCGGAUAAUAUUUUGAACCGCAUGGUUCAAAGUGAAAGACGGUCUUGCUGUCACUUAUAGAUGGAUCCGCGCUGCAUUAGCUAGUUGGUAAGGUAACGGCUUACCAAGGCAACGAUGCAUAGCCGACCUGAGAGGGUGAUCGGCCACACUGGAACUGAGACACGGUCCAGACUCCUACGGGAGGCAGCAGUAGGGAAUCUUCCGCAAUGGGCGAACGCCUGACGGAGCAACGCCGCGUGAGUGAUGAAGGUCUUCGGAUCGUAAAACUCUGUUAUUAGGGAAGAACAUAUGUGUAAGUAACUGUGCACAUCUUGACGGUACCUAAUCAGAAAGCCACGGCUAACUACGUG
rnacentral:rRNA from 1 species